rnacentral:rRNA from 1 species
AGGAUUCCCUUAGUAACUGCGAGUGAAGCGGGAAAAGCUCAAAUUUAAAAUCUGGCGUCUUUGGCUGCCCGAGUUGUAAACUAGAGAAGUGAUGCCCGCGCUGGACCGUGUACAAGUCUCCUGGAAUGGAGCGUCAUAGAGGGUGAGAAUCCCGUCUCUGACACGGACUACCAGGGCUUUGUGGUACGCUCUCAAAGAGUCGAGUUGUUUGGGAAUGCAGCUCAAAAUGGGUGGUAAAUUCCAUCUAAAGCUAAAUAUUGGCGAGAGACCGAUAGCGAACAAGUACCGUGAGGGAAAGAUGAAAAGAACUUUGGAAAGAGAGUUAAACAGUACGUGAAAUUGCUGAAAGGGAAACGCUUGAAGUCAGUCGCAUUGGCCGGGGAUCAGCCUCACUCUUUUGUGUGGUGUACUUUCCGGUUGAUGGGUCAGCAUCAAUUUUGACUGCUGGAAAAAGGCAUGAGGAAUGUGGCAGCUCCGGCUGUGUUAUAGCUUCUUGUCACAUACAGCGGUUGGGAUUGAGGAACUCAGCACGCGGCAAGGCCGGA